UACGUAGGGUGCAAGCGUUGUCCGGAAUUAUUGGGGCGUAAAGAGCUCGUAGGCGGUUUGUCGCGUCUGCUGUGAAAACCCGAGGCUCAACCUCGGGCCUGCAGUGGGUACGGGCAGACUAGAGUGCGGUAGGGGGAGAUUGGAAUUCCUGGUGUAGCGGUGGAAUGCGCAGAUAUCAGGAGGAACACCAAUGGCGAAGGCAGAUCUCUGGGCCGUAACUGACGCUGAGGAGCGAAAGCAUGGGGAGCGAACAGG
rnacentral:rRNA from 1 species